AUGCUUGGUUGAACGAUUGCGUACAUACAUAGGUGAUGUAUGAGGAAAAUCCGGACACCCCCGAAGAAAUUCGGAGCAGGAUGGCGGGUAACGCCCGUCCGCUGCAAAGCGAGGGAUGCGAGCAGAGACGCCACAAAUCGAGAGAUAUGUGGCACCUCAUUUGAGGUGAGCUUGUAUGGUGACAUACGAGGUGAAACGGCAAAAAUCCCAUCUGGGUGCAAGACCGUGUCGUCUUAAUUGGCGGAGUGUCGCAUGAGGUUUGCGGUAACGCAGAUCCCAGAUAAAUAAUCGUUGUCUCGCAAGAGAUACAGAAUCCGGUUUAUAGAUCAAGCGCCAAA
rnacentral:RNase_P_RNA from 1 species